AGAGUUUGAUCCUGGCUCAGAACGAACGCUGGCGGCAGGCCUCAAACAUGCAAGUCUAGGGGGUGUAGCAAUACAUCACCGGCGGACGGGUGCGUAACGCGUGGGAAUAUACCUAUUGGUUCGGAACAACUGAGGGAAACUUCAGCUAAUACCGGAUAAGCCCUUACGGGGAAAGAUUUCUCGCCAAUAGAUUAGCCCGCGUCCGAUUAGCUAGUUGGUGGGGUAAAAGCCUACCAAGGCAACGAUCGGUAGCUGUUCUGAGAGGAAGAUCAGCCACACUGGGACUGAGACACGGCCCAGACUCCUACGGGAGGCAGCAGUUGGGAAUCUUGGACAAUGGGGGAAACCCUGAUCCAGCCAUGCCGCGUGAGUGAUGAAGGCCUUCGGGUUGUAAAACUCUUUCGACGGGGACGAUAAUGACGGUACCCGUAGAAGAAGCUCCGGCUAACUUCGUGCCAGCAGCCGCGGUAAUACGAAGGGGGCUAGCGUUGUUCGGAAUUACUGGGCGUAAAGCGCGCGCAGGCGGUCUUCCAAGUCAGUGGUGAAAGCCCGGAGCUCAACUCCGGAAUUGCCAUUGAAACUGUGAGACUGGAGUACGAGAGAGGUGAGUGGAAUUCCCAGUGUAGAGGUGAAAUUCGUAGAUAUUGGGAAGAACACCGGUGGCGAAGGCGGCUCACUGGCUCGUAACUGACGCUCAGGCGCGACAGCGUGGGGAUCAAACAGGAUUAGAUACCCUAGUAGUCC
rnacentral:rRNA from 1 species